UGGGGAAUUUUGGACAAUGGGGGCAACCCUGAUCCAGCCAUGCCGCGUGCGGGAAGAAGGCCUUCGGGUUGUAAACCGCUUUUAGCCGGGAAGAAAAGGCGUCGUCUAAUACACGGCGUUCUUGACGGUACCGGCGGAAUAAGCACCGGCUAACUACGUGCCAGCAGCCGCGGUAAUACGUAGGGUGCGAGCGUUAAUCGGAAUUACUGGGCGUAAAGCGUGCGCAGGCGGUUCGUUAAGUCAGAUGUGA
rnacentral:rRNA from 1 species